AACGAACGCUGGCGGCAUGCCUAACACAUGCAAGUCGAACGAGACCUUCGGGUCUAGUGGCGCACGGGUGCGUAACGCGUGGGAACCUGCCCUUAGGUUCGGAAUAACUCCCCGAAAGGGGUGCUAAUACCGGAUAAUGUCUUCGGACCAAAGAUUUAUCGCCUUCGGAUAGGCCCGCGUUGGAUUAGCUAGUUGGUAGGGUAAAAGCCUACCAAGGCGACGAUCCAUAGCUGGUCUGAGAGGAUGAUCAGCCACACUGGGACUGAGACACGGCCCAGACUCCUACGGGAGGCAGCAGUGGGGAAUAUUGGACAAUGGGCGAAAGCCUGAUCCAGCAAUGCCGCGUGAGUGAUGAAGGCCUUAGGGUUGUAAAGCUCUUUUACCCGGGAUGAUAAUGACAGUACCGGGAGAAUAAGCUCCGGCUAACUCCGUG
rnacentral:rRNA from 1 species